GGUGUCAAGAGUUUACCAGUACUUCUAACUGAGCAUUGCUAGAAUGAAUCCAUCUAUGCUGUCAAUAUGUGGAACAUGGAGAGGCAGGCUUCUCAGCCUACCUCUUAACUCACUAUCCAGUCCCUGCCUCCCUAUAUCAUUUGCAAGUAAAAGCAUGUGAACCCU